UGGGGCUUGAAGGGAAAAGAGAUAAAAAAUAAAACAGAAAAUGGAAAAAACUUGAAGAGCUCCUCUCCUCUUAUAUAGUAACCUCAACUUCACAUAAGAGACUGUGACGUGUUGCUAAAUCGUUGGCUCCCUUUAAUCCACAGCAAAAAAUUUGGCCGAUUGUUUUUUUUUCUCCCUCUCCCUCUCUCUCUCUUUGUCGCGAAUCUCUCAAUCGGAUGAGAUGGGAUCGGUUGGAAUCAUUGGAGAUUGGAAUCGGAGGAGGAGAUUGAAUCAUCGAUGUGGCUUAUAGUCCGAUGACUCCAGAUGGAUUCUUUCUCAUUAGCGCAAGCAAAGGUUUGAAUGAUGAAGGGGAAUGAUGCUGCGACGUCGGUUGAGCUGUUGUAUCUAUCACGUAGAUGGAGAAUAUGGUACACUUUCUCGCUGAAUCGGGAAUGAUGCAUAGGAAUAUGAGAAGAAAGGAUUUACUUCUUUGGCUUCUCCUCCUACUCGGCGUGUCAACAUCUUUCUCCCAGGCUAGUUAGUUUGUAACUUGCAGGUGAAGUUCACAGUUGAAGAGCAACGGAAAAUUAUGGAUCGAAAACACAACAUCCGUAACAUGUCUGUCAUUGCCCAUGUCGAUCAUGACUGAUCUUGUUGGUGAGCCAGAACUAGCUUCAUUGAUGCAGCUGAUAAAGAAGGCAGCUAUAGAGAUCCAAGAGGAGUGGGAGAUUUUACUGAGUUGCCGUUCUGAUACACUGACCAAGAGUUGGGUAUCAAGCACAAUAUUGAGACCGUUCCUCUUCUUUAUCAGAUUUUUGUCUAUCCAACAUCAAAAGAUACAGUCAAGAGAUAUACAUCAAAACAAUAUUUUCAAAAUAAGAGACCCAUAAUUAUAUACUACUAUUGGAGGAUGCAAUUUAAAAUUAAGA